AAUAUUGCGCAAUGGGGGAAACCCUGACGCAGCAACGCCGCGCGAGUGAUGAAGGCUCUCGGGUCUUAAAACUCUGUCAUUGGGGAAGAAAAAAAUGACGGUACCCAAUGAGGAAGCCCCGGCUAACUUCGUGCCAGCAGCCGCGGUAAUACGUAGGGGGCAAGCGUUGUCAGGAAUUAUUGGGCGUAAAGGGUGCGUAGGUGGCCUGAUAAGUCAGAUGUGAAAUACCGAGGCUCAACUUCGGAGGUGCAUUUGAAACUAUUAGGCUUGAGUGCAGGAGAGGAAAGUGGAAUUCCCAGUGUAGCGGUGAAAUGCGUAGAGAUUAGGAGGAACACCAGUGGCGAAGGCGACUUUCUGGACUGUAACUGACACUGAGGCACGAAAGCGUGGGGAGCAAACA
rnacentral:rRNA from 1 species